GCUGUCGUAGUGUACUAUAACACACCGUCCUUGUAAGCCGGAAAAGGAAUGUAAUUCCCCACAGCA
rnacentral:tRNA from 1 species